CUCUGAUUGGCUCGCUAGGUCAGCGUGUUGUAACUCGUACGGUUCCUGCACGCUGAGAGCCGAGGACGACGCGCCAGAAUGCCCCCCCACCACCGUUCGCGAAGGCUCUCAGCUCACGCGAUCAGUGAAUCAGUCUAAUUUGACCAACUUCCGAGGUCAGUGCACGUCCGUGUUUAUGUGAGCCUUCAUAAGCUGGGGCGCACAAAUAUAAGUGGAUAUAAUACGAGACUGACUGGUACAUUUUAACGUAAAAAUUUAGUUUGGUGUAUGGCAGUAAAACGAUGUAUGCCAUUGUUGAAUUCGUGGUUGGCGAGAAGCGAGAAUGUGCAUUAGUGCCAGUUUUGUGGCUGGUGGAUAAUAAUACCAUCUGCUACUGGCCACGCACGAAGAAUGAGGAGCAUUUCCUAAAAUUAGUCAAAUCAAAGGCAAUAUAUCAGAAAACAUGGCCCAAGUAUCCUGUUCACAACGUUCUGCAUACUGGAGAAAGCUUCGACGCACUACAAAAGACGAUGACGCACAUCAUAGAACACGGUACAUCCGAGGAAGAUGGCACAGUUUACACCAUUAGUAAGAAAUCCACAGGGCAUUGUUAUGAAAGAGAGUCGCAGAGCAAUGAUGAAGAUGAAGAGGGCAAUGAUGAAGCUGUCGUACGUGAAAAUAUAUCCAAAAAGCGUAAACAUACAAAGAAAUCCAAGAAGAGCAAAAAAAAAGAAGGUAAAGCGUCAACGUGAGACGUCUUCAGAUACUGCAGAUGAUACAUCAUCAGUUGAUGAAAAUUCUCCACCAACACACCAUCCCACUUCGAACCCACGACAGAAUUUCAACAUAUCCAAUGCAUCACCUGUUAUCGUUUCUGUAAAUGGGACAGCUCGCCCUUCAGCCCACAGUUUGACAAGACCAGAAUCAACUCAUGCUGAGGAAAAUCAUAUCGAGGCAGCAAGCAACUAACGUGGACAGCGUACAAAGGCCAGAGGUAUUUCCAACGCUUCCAAUUGAAACAAUGGAAGAAUUUGCGAACCUCGAAGAACUUCUCAAAUCGAAUGAGCAUCGAAUAUACCUGACACAAAAACUAUCCUCUAUUGGAGGCACAAGUGGCCGUCAAUGCGUAUUGGCUGUUCUCAAGUCAUUACUAACAAACGAAUUAGCCAUGCAGUUCAAUUGGGCUGGUAGAGAUAAAAUUGCUUUCCAAAAGACACUGGUGAUGCAAGUUAUUUACGAUGCUGUUAAAGCUACUUUCCAUGGUAAGGAAUUAGUAAGCGAUAUCAAGGAAGCGAAUAUUGCAGCUGCAGUUAAAGAUUGGUUGAAACUCGCUCGAUCGCGAUACUCCUCGAAAUAAUGUGUCAAUACUUUUUCUAACUCACUCUGCCAGGAUUGUGAUUUUUUUUCAAGUCCCAAGAGAAAGCUAACGAUUUUCCUCAUUGAGGUGUAUCCACUGUAUAAUUAGUUUGUUUUAUGUUUCAUUCGUUGUCAAACCACUCGUAUCAGAUACAAGUUUUUGUUUGUUUAGAUUUACUUAAGUUUACUGUAUGUUGUACUUCUAUACUCAAGUCCGGAGUAGAUGAAAGAUAACGAUUUUCCUCAUUGAGGUACAAUCAUUGUAUGAUUAUUUUGUUUCAUGUUUUAUUUGUUAUCAAAGUACUCGUAUCGGAUACAAGUUUUUGUUUGUUUAUAUUUACGUAAGUUUACUAUUUGCUAUAGCUACUAUACUCUUGUGAGUAUAUCUAUGCAAUGUAAGUAUACGUAUUUGUAAAAGACUGUGUGUAUAUUACAUCCCUGUCAACUUUGACGGAUUAGCAGUGAUAUCGAGGAAGUGAAUGCUCCAGCUGCGGUCGAAUAAUAAUUAAAACUUAUGCGUACUGCGUACCUAGACAACGCUUUCUAUAGCGUCUGUGUUCUUUUUUGAAAUAAUGUGCCAAUACUUUUUAUUAUUUUACUUUGUCAGGAUUGUGAUUUUUUACCUAGUCCCGAGAUGAAAGCUAACGAUUUUCCUCAUUGAGGUGUAACCAUUGUAUAAUUAUGUUGUUUUGUGUUAUAUUCGUUGUCAAACCACUCGUAUCCUAUACAAGUUUUUGUGUAUUUAGAUUUACUAAUACUACUGUACUGUUGAUUGUAUGUUGUACUUCUAUACUCAAGUCCGGAGUAGAUGAAAGAUAACGAUUUUCCUUAUUGAGGUAUAAUCAUUGUAUGAUUAUUUUGUUUCAUGUUUCAUUUGUUAUCAAACUACUUGUAUCGGAUACGAGUUUUUGUUUAUUUAUAUUUACUCAAGUUUACUAUUCAAUUGCUAUAGCUACUAUACUCUUGUGAGUAUAUCUAUGCAAUGUAGGUAUUUGUAAAAGACUGUGUAUAUAUUACAUCCCAGUCAACUUUCACGGAUUAGCAGUGAUAUCAGGAAAGUUAAUACUCCAACUGCGGUCCAAUAUUGGUUAAAACUUGCGUACUGCGUACCUAGAAGACGCCCUCUAUAGCAUCUGUGUUCUGUGUUGAAAUAAUGUGCCAAUACUUUUUAUUAUUUUACUUUGUCAGGAUUGUGAUUUUUUACCUAGUCCCGAGAUGAAAGUUAACAAUUUUCCUCGUUAGGGUAUAAUCAUUGUAUGAUUAUUUUGUUUCAUGUUUUAUUUGUUAUCAAACCUCUUGUAUCGGAUAUAAGUUUUUGUUUGUUCAUGUUUACUUAAUUUUACUAUUUGCUAUACUUCUAUACUCUUGUGAGUACAUCUGUACAAUUGAGGUAUGCGUAUAUGUAAAAGACUGUAUGUUUAUUUAUACAUCCCAGUCAACAUUCACACAGUUACAUCGUUGGCAUAAUAAAAUGUCCGCAUCAACGAUACAGACAAACUGGUAUAUAAAAAACUACUGUUAUGUUUCGGAUACAUUGUUAAAGCGGAUAUUUCGAUACGUGUGCAAUGUAACUAUUGUCAUUGUUGCCUUGGAUGAAAGUACCUUAUAAUAAAUAUAUAUCAUGUUUCGCAAA
rnacentral:misc_RNA from 1 species